AUUGAACGCUGGCGGCAGGCUUAACACAUGCAAGUCGAGCGGGGAGAUGUAGCUUGCUACAUUUCCUAGCGGCGGACGGGUGAGUAAUGCUUAGGAAUCUGCCUAUUAGUGGGGGACAACGUUUCGAAAGGAACGCUAAUACCGCAUACGCCCUACGGGGGAAAGCAGGGGAUCUUCGGACCUUGCGCUAAUAGAUGAGCCUAAGUCAGAUUAGCUAGUUGGUGGGGUAAAGGCCUACCAAGGCGACGAUCUGUAGCGGGUCUGAGAGGAUGGUCCGCCACACUGGGACUGAGACCCGGCCCAGACUCCUACGGGAGGCAGCAGUGGGGAAUAUUGGACAAUGGGGGGAACCCUGAUCCAGCCAUGCCGCGUGUGUGAAGAAGGCCUUUUGGUUGUAAAGCACUUUAAGCGAGGAGGAGGCUCUUCUAGUUAAUACCUAGGAUGAGUGGACGUUACUCGCAGAAUAAGCACCGGCUAACUCUGUGCCAGCAGCCGCCGCAGUAA
rnacentral:rRNA from 1 species